GAGUGUCAUCCAUCAUGUUGCAGAUUUGUUUGAUUUGGCUGGUCUCGGGUUUCUUUGAGGAAUCCAGUGGGCAGAUUGCCAUCACUCAGACACCGGCUUCGAUACAGGCAAGUCGUUGGGGCAGAGCAACAAUCCAGUGCAAAGCUGCCUCUUCUGUCGACCGUUAUAUGGCCUUAUAUCAGUUUAAAUCAGGUCAGAACCCCAAGCUACUGAUUUAUUAUGGUUCAACCCGUUUCGAAGGGACUCCAGAUCGCUUCAGUGGCAGCUACAACGGCAACGACUUCUCUUUCACUAUAAACGGUGUCCAUGCCGAGGACGAAGGGGUAUAUUUCUGUGGCCAAUACUACAGCCUUCCUCUCCACAGUGAUACACUUCAGUACAAAAACCAGCUCAGUAGCCUAAGACAGAAGGAAGAAAUGGCAGCAGGUGUUCUGCAGUAG